rnacentral:rRNA from 1 species
GAAUUGCAGAAUUCCGUGAACCAUCGAAUCUUUGAACGCAUAUUGCGCUCGACCCUUCGGGGAAGAGCAUGUCUGCCUCAGCGUCGGUUUAAACCCUCAUCCCUACCCAUUCACAUGGGUCUGAUCGGCUUGCUCAAGCCGAUUGUUGGGAUGGAUCUGACCUCCCCAAAACUUGCUUGCAUUUCUUGGGUUGGUUGAAGBACAGAGGCUUAAACUGGGACCUGAUAUGGGCUCAACUGGAUAGGUAGCUCCACUUUGUCUCGUGCAAAGUACCUACACGAAGUUGUGUCUGUGGACCUGGUUAGGAGCCAAGCAGGAAUCAAGUUCUACUUGAAUAUAAGGUUCGACCUGAGC